rnacentral:rRNA from 1 species
CGGUAAUUCCAGCUCCUAUAGCGUAUACUAAAGUUGUUGCAGUUAAAAAGCUCGUAGUUGGAUUUCUGCGGGGACGGAGCGGCCGGACGCAACUUGCGUCUCGAGCUAGCGCUUUCCCCGCAUCCUGCCGCGAACCGUGCUACCAUUAGCUUGGUGGCGCUGGGGAUCGGCUCGAUUACUUUGAGAAAAAUAGAGUGUUCAAAGCAGGCCACACGCCUUGAGUAAGUUAGCAUGGAAUAAUGAUUAAGGACUUUGGUUCUUUUCGUUGGUGUUCGGGACUGAAGUAAUGAUUGAUAGGGACAGUUGGGGCGGUCUGUAUUCCAAAGCGAGAGGUGAAAUUCUUAGACCUUCGGAAGACAAACAGCUGCGAAAGCGUUCCGCAGGGAUGUUCCCUUUGAUCAAGAACGAAAGUUGGGGGAUCGAAGACGAUCAGAUACCGUCGUAGUCUCAACUAUAAACUAUACCAGCUAGGGAUCGGCCAACGUUUAAUUAUUCGACUUGGUCGGCACCUUAUGAGAAAUCAAAGCAUCUGGGUUCCGGGGGGAGUAUGGUCGCAAGGCUGAAACUUAAAGGAAUUGACGGAAGGGCACCACCAGGCGUGGAGCCUGUGGCUUAAUUUGACUCAACACGGGAAAACUUACCAGGUCCAGACAUAGGAAGGAUUGACAGAUUGAUAGCUCUUUCUUGAUUCUGUGGGUGGUGGUGCAUGGCCGUUUUUAGUCGGUGAAGUGAUUUGUCUGCUUAAUUGCGUUAACGGACGAGACCCCAGCCUGCUAAAUAGCGCGGCCGAGCUUUGCUCGGUGCGAGCUUCUUAGAGGGACCAUGAUGCGCGAUAGCACAAGGAAGUUUGGGGCAACAACAGGUCUGUGAUGCCCUUAGAUGUUCUGGGCCGCACACGGGCUACACUGGCGCCUGCAGCGAGCAUAUCAGCUGGCCCGAGAGGGUCUUGGCUAAUCUUUGGAACCGGCGCCGUGCUUGGGAUUGACCAUUGCAAUUGUUGGUCAUGCAACGAGGAAUGCCUUGUAAACGCGAGUCAUCAGCUCGCAUUGAAUACGUCCCUGCCCUUUGUACACACCGCCCGUCGCUCCUACCGAUGAAUGUUCCGAUGACAUUUUCGGAGAGCGCCGGAGAACGGGGCUCUGCCCUGCAGAACUGGAGGCUCAAAGUCACUUAAAUCUGAACAUUUCGAGGAAGGAGAAGUCGUAACAAGGUAGCCG